CACUAAGCCAGGCAAAGAGGGGUUACGGUGAGUUCUUCCAGGCAAAGAGGAUUUUGUCUGGAAGUCCUCUUUGAGCAAAGACAUGGAGUCCACAUGAGCAAAGACAUGGAGGAGAAAAACGGCAUGGCACGAAGGGAACUGCAGGAGGGAAAAGCAAAGAGAAGAUGCGAUGAAGCCACAGAGCAGGAAGAGGCCUCGGUUGCUGUCCUGACCAGUCCUCUCACUUCACCAUCAAGGCCAUGAAACCCAGAGAAGGGAUGUGACUUGAGAUCCAGCCAGACCCAGAUCCAGAGUUGGGAGGGCAGGGGUGCUGCAAUAUGAUCACAGAAUCGACACUCGACCCCUCCCAGCGACCUGGCAAAGUGGGCACUAACUCCAUUCUGCAGAGGUGGAAACUGAGGCCAGUGUGGGGAAUGGAAAUUGACUGGGCUAAGCUUAGAAGCCUGAACUCUGACCCCAAAGCUCUCUCUUGUACCUUUGACCCCCUUGUCUUGUCCUGCAGCUCUUAAGGUUACAGUGAGCCAGUUUUUCAUUUUGCCUUUCUCCAAUGGAGGCACCUUGGAAAAUAGAGAUCUGGCUGGAGCAACCUGGAACAUUUGAUGAUUGGGCUUAUUUAUAUUUAUAAUUAUCUAUAGAGUGAUAAGCACUUAUAUGCGGAAGGAGAGAGUUCCUGUCCUGCUCACUGAUGUAUCAUCAACUUGCUAAUGAAUGAAUGAAUGAACAAAUGCUAAUCCUCACAGAUCCCCUCUCUACAGAGGAAGAGGCUGAGGCUCAGGGAGGUGCAGUGACUUGCUUCAGAGACACAGGAAUCAUGCCAGGAAUCGUCGGGCCUCCCUUUUUUCUCAGAGAAGAAAGAUUGUUUCUGUUUCCUCCUCCGUCAUGCUGGGCUUGUCAACCAGCCAGUCACCGGCCCUCCCUGAGGAAGCGCAGCACAGUCACCAGCCAGGAGAACAGAUUCACCUGCCCCAGGACGUCAGCGCUGCCCACACACGGUGCCACCCACGCACUGUGACACACACUCACACUUGGGCCCCAGACUCCCCAGGUCCAACCAAGGAGAGGGAAUGGCAGAGGAGCGCACAGGGGUGGGGCAGGCACUGAACCCCGCUGGGGAAUGGAGGGGGAAAGGGUGGGACAGGCCCCACCCAGCCCCAACUGUCAGAAGACGAAAGAAAGGGUGCAGGUGGGCUCCGGGUUGGAGAAGAAGAAGGUGAGCCAGCAGAGCCGAGUCACGGCAGCCUGCCAAGCCGACUGCUGAGGCAGAGUUAGCACUGGCUGGAUGAGACACUUCACACUUCACAGCUCCUGAAAAGUGUGGAGGAAAUGCCCACACCCUACAUAGACCAGAGGGCCACUAUCUGCUUGAAACAAAUGGCCCCUUCCUGGACAUCCUUUGUUCCCCUUUAUGGACAAAAUGCUACUACCUUCACUUACACCCUCCCUAGAGAUCUCCCAAAGAAGGAGGAUGAGGGAAGCUGCCUUUGGUUGAGUCUAUGCUAUGUGCCUGACUCUGUGCCAAGCUCUGGACCUCCACCAAGUCAGAUUGGGGAUGCUCAACCUGUGCUUCUCCAAGGACCCCUGGUUCUAUUACAUGGAGAUUGGUAUUAAGAAACCACGAUCUGGGCAGUAAGUAUGUCACUAGUGCUUCCUAGAUGACAGAGCUAAGAAGAUAUAUGCAUAUUCACACACACACAUUUCUCCAUCUAAUCUAUCUAUCAUCUCUCUAUGCACAUGGUAAAAUCCACGAGUUCACACCAAUACCCCCAAUUCCAAUACAAAACGACAAGGCCUCUUCUAGUCUUCCUUUUUUCCGUAUUUGCAAUUCCCAUCUCCAAAGUAAGAACCUGAUUCCCACCAUCCCCAACACAUAAACUUAAUUGUUCAAUGCUCCUGUACGUAACAAUUUCCCAUUAACACAGGCCUCUUCCUUGGCCCUGGCCUUGCUGGACACGGGGGCCACAAAAGCCAAGUUCCUGCUGGCCCUGGUAUCACUUCACUCUGAUUUACAUUCAUUCCUCCAAUAAAUCUUUACUGAUCACCUACUGUGUAUGUGCCAGUCACUAUUCCAGAUUCUGGGAACCAAACACGUACCAAAAAAUCCCUACCAUCAUGAAGCUGAGGUUCUAGUGGGGAACAGAGAAAACACGCAAAACAGCGCAUAAUCGAAGAUAACCAGAUUUCAUGAGGGGAAAAUACACCAUGAAUGGUAACAAGCAGAAAUGGAUCUCAAGGACUCCAGACAUGGAAAUUAUCAGACACUGACUGUAAUAUAAUUAUGCUUCCUAUGUUUAAGGAGAUUAAAAGUCAUGCCUGAAAAUUCUGUAAGGAGACUGGAAACUAUACAAAGUAACUGUGUCAGUCAUGUCUAGUCCUGAAUAUGAUGGCAUAAUCUAGGUGGUUAGAGGGGAGUUUAACUAAGCGAUGCUUUUAUUUUUAUUUUCAUCAUUUUUUGAGACAGGCUCUGGCUCAGUCACCCAGGCUGGA
rnacentral:lncRNA from 1 species